GGCCCGGGGCGGGGCGGAAGGCGGGACCGGAGGUGGAGCAAGGGGCGUGGGGCAAGGCCGUCCCCCGCAUCGGCCCCCCCUUGGCUCCGCGCGCCGCUCUGGGUUGGGCCUGGGGCUGCCCCUAUGGGUCUGCCCCACGCCCUAGGAUGGUGGCGGAGGGCCGCCGGGGAGGGCGACGGCGAGUGCGGAAGGGUCCGUGAAUAUCCCCCGGUGCCGGUGUGGGCAAGCGUCCCCACCGAGGGAGAAUCGGGGCGGCCGGCUGGCCAGUCGGGUUGUGUCCCCUUCCUAAGGAGACGUGGGGACGGCGACCAGACGGCGGAGGAGGUGCCUCCUUCUAGCUUCAGACGCGGAGGCGAGCGCCGUCACCUCCCGACCCGGUGGAGCGCGUGGACGUUAGACAUCAGCAGCAAGAAGGUGACAGUGGCGAGAAAGACAAGCAGAAGCAAUCGAGUCACACCCAACCAUCUGGAGACCCUCCCUGACAUUAGCAGCAAGAAGGUGACAGUGGGCAGGAGAGGCACGAAGCCCGGCAGGGAGCCUGAGAGUCGCGCCUUCGGCGACGGCGGUGACCACUGGACCCAGAGGCGGCGCGGGGUCAGCAGCGCCAACUCCUGGCUAAAGCGCUGGGCCUGGGACCAGCCAUAACGCUGAGCCAGACACUGGCCUUGCCGCUCAGCCUGACAUCCCGCGACUGAUGAGGAAACGCCAGGCGACCUGCUUGUGGGAUCUUAGUUCCCUGAUCAAGGAUGGAACCCCGGGCCCCAGCAGUGAAAGCAUCCUAACCACUGGACCUCCGGGGAAUUCCCAUGUAGGUGAUCUUUUUAUCUCCACCCUUGAAUUUGCAGAACUUGGGCACGAAUACAAACGGAGGCCAAUAAUAUGAGCCUAAACAUUUGAAUUUUAUAAAUCAAAGUAAUUUAAAUAAAUGAUUUCACUGUUAAAGUUUAAUUACAUCUUAUUUUAUACAAAUAAAACUAUUCACAGUCUAGUGUUCAAUAGAUACCAAGUUACCAGUGUAAAGAGUGUUAUGCUGCACUCGUGUUAUAUCUAGACCUAUAAAUACAUACAUUUCAGAGUGAUAUGAAUUGUUUAAUGUUGCAAAAUGUUCCUCAGCCACCUCGUGCAGCUGCUAUGAAUAAUACUGCACACACUUCAUGAGCACCGGGACCACGAAAUGGGACAGGAAGAGAAAUAAGAAGGUAGAUGUUUGCCACAGUGCUUAGCAAUGAAAAAAAUCAGUUACGUGAUGCCUCUAAAAGGAACCAUUUUGUUAAUAACUUAUCUUUUCCUUGUCUAAGCACUUACUUCUGCCUCUCAACUCCUUCCCACACUGCUUAGCAGUAUUAUCUCUGAUUUCUCCAUGCUAUUGAAACCAAGGCCCCCUAAAACCGAGUUCCCUUACUGAGUUCAUGAUUCAUCUCUCCACCCAAAACUUUAUUCCCUUUUUUGUUCCCUCUGACCUCAAUCCUGUGCUAACUGAACACUAAUCAACCAGUCAGGUGACUAAGAUGGCUGCUGUCGCUAAUGUACUAAAAUUGCCUUGUAGACAUCAUGGUUAAUGUACAAACUCAGGUUGUUUCUCCAGGGCAAGAUGAGCUCACAGACCCCCCCAGCCAUGGACUGCCUGGCCUGAGAAUGUAAACCAGAGACAGCCUGACUCCUGAAACUAGAUUCAGAAAUGUCACAGAAAUGUCACAAAACGAUGAUGAAUCCCAGCCUCUUUCUUUGUUCCCCAUUUUAAAAAAUCCCCUAACUCAAAGACCAAGUUGGUCGGAGGCUUAUCUGAGCUGGUCUGAGUGGAUCUGAGGCUUGUCUCCCACUCCUUUGCUUGGUGUCCUAUAAACACCCGCUGUCAAGAGUCUGGCUUUCUGCGCGGGUUACAACUGCACGUUGCCCUGAGGGCUGACUUCAGGUCACAGGUGUAUCCGCCCAGCUCUAGCGAGCUCCAGUCUACCCGUCCUCAGCACGUUUGGCUUUCCAUGCCCCACAGCCACUGCCUCCAGCUGCGAGUCCGCGACCCAGCUGUGGCUCGAGGCGCAGUCACCCGGGUGCGGGGACGACCCGCUUGCCCCGCACCCAGACACACGCCGUUUUCCGGAAACGGCGGGAAGAGCCAAAGGCCAAGGGCACUGCCCGGGCCUAAAGAACAGAGGCGGCGCAGGCCGGCAGACAGCUCCGCCAGGAGCCCGGCGGGCCAGCACCCCGGGCCUGCGCCCUCGAGAGGCCUCCCGGCGGUCCCUCCCGACCACGAGGGCGUCCCGGCCGGCCCCGAGCGGUCACACCCCGGGCUCGGGCUGCGGCGCGCGGUCCCCGCGUGUUUCCACCCCCACGGCUCGGCCGGCCCGGAGGGUUUGCUCUCGGGUCUUCAGGGCUACUUCCUACGACUUGGGGUCCGCCAAAGGCGGCGCGGACCAGGGGACG